AGAGUUUGAUCCUGGCUCAGGAUGAACGCUAGCUACAGGCUUAACACAUGCAAGUCGAGGGGCAGCAUGGUCUUAGCUUGCUAAGGCCGAUGGCGACCGGCGCACGGGUGAGUAACACGUAUCCAACCUGCCGUCUACUCUUGGACAGCCUUCUGAAAGGAAGAUUAAUACAAGAUGGCAUCAUGAGUCCGCAUGUUCACAUGAUUAAAGGUAUUCCGGUAGACGAUGGGGAUGCGUUCCAUUAGAUAGUAGGCGGGGUAACGGCCCACCUAGUCUUCGAUGGAUAGGGGUUCUGAGAGGAAGGUCCCCCACAUUGGAACUGAGACACGGUCCAAACUCCUACGGGAGGCAGCAGUGAGGAAUAUUGGUCAAUGGGCGAGAGCCUGAACCAGCCAAGUAGCGUGAAGGAUGACUGCCCUAUGGGUUGUAAACUUCUUUUAUAAAGGAAUAAAGUCGGGUAUGCAUACCCGUUUGCAUGUACUUUAUGAAUAAGGAUCGGCUAACUCCGUGCCAGCAGCCGCGGUAAUACGGAGGAUCCGAGCGUUAUCCGGAUUUAUUGGGUUUAAAGGGAGCGUAGAUGGAUGUUUAAGUCAGUUGUGAAAGUUUGCGGCUCAACCGUAAAAUUGCAGUUGAUACUGGAUAUCUUGAGUGCAGUUGAGGCAGGCGGAAUUCGUGGUGUAGCGGUGAAAUGCUUAGAUAUCACGAAGAACUCCGAUUGCGAAGGCAGCCUGCUAAGCUGCAACUGACAUUGAGGCUCGAAAGUGUGGGUAUCAAACAGGAUUAGAUACCCUGGUAGUCCACACGGUAAACGAUGAAUACUCGCUGUUUGCGAUAUACGGCAAGCGGCCAAGCGAAAGCGUUAAGUAUUCCACCUGGGGAGUACGCCGGCAACGGUGAAACUCAAAGGAAUUGACGGGGGCCCGCACAAGCGGAGGAACAUGUGGUUUAAUUCGAUGAUACGCGAGGAACCUUACCCGGGCUUAAAUUGCAGAUGAAUUACGGUGAAAGCCGUAAGCCGCAAGGCAUCUGUGAAGGUGCUGCAUGGUUGUCGUCAGCUCGUGCCGUGAGGUGUCGGCUUAAGUGCCAUAACGAGCGCAACCCUUGUUGUCAGUUACUAACAGGUUCUGCUGAGGACUCUGACAAGACUGCCAUCGUAAGAUGUGAGGAAGGUGGGGAUGACGUCAAAUCAGCACGGCCCUUACGUCCGGGGCUACACACGUGUUACAAUGGGGGGUACAGAGGGCCGCUACCACGCGAGUGGAUGCCAAUCCCCAAAACCUCUCUCAGUUCGGACUGGAGUCUGCAACCCGACUCCACGAAGCUGGAUUCGCCAGUAAUCGCGCAUCAGCCACGGCGCGGUGAAUACGUUCCCGGGCCUUGCACACACCGCCCGUCAAG
rnacentral:rRNA from 1 species